rnacentral:rRNA from 1 species
ACACCGGCAGCCCAAGUGGUGGCCAUUUUUAUUGGGCCUAAAGCGUUCGUAGCCGGCCUGAUAAGUCUCUGGUGAAAUCCCGCAGCUUAACUGUGGGAAUUGCUGGAGAUACUAUCAGGCUUGAGGUCGGGAGAGGUUAGAGGUACUCCCAGGGUAGGGGUGAAAUCCUAUAAUCCUGGGAGGACCACCUGUGGCGAAGGCGUCUAACUGGAACGAACCUGACGGUGAGUAACGAAAGCCAGGGGCGCGAACCGGAUUAGAUACCCGGGUAGUCCUGGCCGUAAACGAUGUGGACUUGGUGUUGGGAUGGCGUCGAGCUGCCCCAGUGCCGAAGGGAAGCUGUUGAGUCCACCACCUGGGAAGUACGACCGCAAGGUUGAA